GCGCGAAACCUUUACAAUGCACGAAAGUGUGAUAAGGGAAUCCAGAGUGCUCAUGCUUUGCAUGGGCUUUUUUUAAGGGUAAAUACCUUGAAGAAUAAACGGUGGGUAAGACUGGUGCCAGCCGCCGCGGUAACACCAGCGCCGUUAGUGGGGAUCAUGAUUAUUGGGCCUAAAGCGUCCGUAGCCGGUUUGAUAAAUCUCUUGUGAAACCGUAUAGCUCAACUAUACGACGUGCAGGGGACACUGUCAAACUUGAGACCGGGAAGGGCUAGAGGUAUGUUUGGGGGAGCGGUAAAGUGCUAUAAUCCCUUACAGACCAAUGGUGGCGAAGGCGUCUAGCUAGAACGGAUCUGACGGUGAGGGACGAAAGCCAGGGGAGCAAUCCGGAUUAGAUACCCGAGUAGUCCUGGCCGUAAACGCUGCGAGCUAGGUGUUGCACAUUCUCCGAGAAUGUGCAGUGUCGAAGCGAAGGUGUUAAGCUCGCCGCCUGGGAAGUAUGGUCGCAAGACUGAAACUUAAAGGAAUUGG
rnacentral:rRNA from 1 species